GUGGGGAAUAUUGCGCAAUGGGCGAAAGCCUGACGCAGCAACGCCGUGUGGGUGAUGACGGUCUUCGGAUUGUAAAGCCCUGUUGAGGGGGACGAGCAAGGACGGUACCCCUCGAGGAAGCACCGGCUAACUCCGUGCCAGCAGCCGCGGUAAUACGGAGGGUGCAAACGUUGUUCGGAAUCAUUUGGCGUAAAGCGCACGCAGGCGGUUUAUCAGGUCGGAUGGGAAAUGCCGGGGCUCAACCCCGGAACUUCGUUCGAAACCGGUAAGCUGGAGUCACGGAGGGAGAAGGGGAAUUCCUGGUGUAGGGGUGAAAUCCGUAGAGAUCAGGAGGAACACCGGCGGCGAAAGCGCCUUCUUGGACGAUGACUGACGCUGAGGUGCGAAAGCGUGGGGAGCAAACAGGAUUAGAAACCCGGGUAGUCC
rnacentral:rRNA from 1 species